UUAACUCAGAAUAUGCUGGGACAGGUUAGGAAAUCCAGCUGCAAAGCCUCCUUCCUAGAAGGACAAGAUAGAUGUGUGAAUCUUGCUGACACGGACCAGCAUUCCCCCAUGACAUGGUGUUAUGUGGCUAGGAAAGUAUUUGCUCAUUUAGAGCUUUCUGAAAGAGAAGAUGCAACAAGAAACGAAGGUGUGAGAAUCCAGCAGACGACAGCAAUGGAGGUCAUCAGCCAAAACCCACAGGAAGAUACAGGCUGAAUGAUAGAAGAUGAUCUCCUCCCAGUAAGCUAAACUGGAAGGAAGUUACUACCACCUGAGAUAGAAGAGCAGAGAAGAGAGAUGCUCCAUUCAGCUGCUUGCUGCCCUUAGAUAUGCUCUGAUCAACAGCAUGAACCACAACUAGUGCCCAGCAAUUGGCGAGUGGCAGAUGCCUGAAUACCAUGUUUUUCAUUUCACUUCAAUAUCCUUGACUCAUGCAUCCUG